AUGGUUGUCGUAGAGGCAGCUGCUGUGGUUGACGUAGGAGCUGUAGUUGUGAUUGUUGUAGCAAGUACAGCAGGUGGAGUGGUCGUGGUAGCUACAGUUGUAGAAACUGCAGGAGUUGUAGUAGGUACUGUUGUUGUGGUUGUCGUAGGAGCUGAAGUUGUUGUUGUUGUUGUAGAAGGUGCUGCAGUCACUGUGGUCGUAAGAACAGCAGUUGUUGUAGUAGGAGCUGCACUGGUUGUCGUAGUAGGUUGUGGCGUUGCAGUGGUCGUAGGAGCAGCAGUUGUUGUAGUUAGGGCUGUCGUAGGGGCAGCUUCUGUGGUUGAAGUAGAUGCUAAAGUUGUUGUAGGAGCUGCUGUUGUCGUGGGAGCUACAGUUGUUGUAGGUGUUGCUGUUGUGGUUGUCGUAGGAGCUAAAGUUGUAGUUGUUGUAGCAGGAGCUGCAGUGGUUGUCGUAGUAGGUUCUGGAGUUGUAGUGGUCGUAGGAGCAGCAGUUGUUGUAGUUAGGGCUGCAGCGGCUGUCGUAGGGGCAGCUUCUGUGGUUGAAGUAGAUGCUAAAGUUGUUGUAGGAGCUGCUGUUGUCGUGGGAGCUAUAGUUGUUGUAGGUGUUGCUGUUGUGGUUGUCGUAGGAGCUGAAGUUGUAGUUGUUGUAGCAGGAGCUGCAGUGGUUGACGUAACAGGUUCUGGAGUUGUAGUGGUCGUUGGAGCAGCAGUCGUUGUAGUUAGGGCUGGUGUGGUUGUCGUAGAGGCAGCUGCUGAGGUUGACGUAGAAGCUACAAUUGUUGUAGCAGGAGCUGUAGUUGUGGUAGUAAGUACAGAAGGUGUGGUGGUCGUGGGAGCUACAGUUGUUGUAGGAGUUGCUGUUGUGGUUGUCGUAGGGGCUGAAGUUGUAGUUGUUGUAGCAGGAGCUGCACUGGUUGUCGUAGUAGGUUCUGGAGUUGUAGUGGCUGUAGGAGCAGCAGUUGUUGUACUUAGGGCUGCAGCGGCUGUCGUAGGGGCAGCUUCUGUGGUUGAAGUAGAUGCUAAAGUUGUUGUAGGAGCUGCUGUUGUCGUGGGAGCUAUAGUUGUUGUAGGUGUUGCUGUUGUGGUUGUCGUAAGAGCUGAAGUAGUAGUUGUUGUAGCAGGAGCUGCAGUGGUUGACGUAAUAGGUUCUGGAGUUGUAGUGGUCGUUGGAGCAGCAGUCGUUUUAGUUAGGGCGGGUGUGGUUGUCGUAGAGGCAGCUGCUGAGGUUGACGUAGAAGCUACAAUUGUUUUAGCAGGAGCUGUAGUUGUGGUUGUUGUAGUAAGUCCAGAAGGUGUGGUGGUCGUGGGAGCUACAGUUGUUGGAACUGCAGGUGUUGUAGUAGGUGUUGCUGUUGUGGUUGUCGUAAGAGCAGAAGCUGUAGUUGUUGUAGAAGGUGCUGCAGUCGUUGUAGUAGUAGGUUCUGGAGUUGUAGUGGUCGUAGGAGCAGAAGCUGUUGUCGUAGGGGCAGCUUCUGUGGUUAAAGUAGAUGCUAAAGUUGUUGUAGGUGUUGCUGUUGUGGUUGUCGUAGGAGCUGAAGUUGUAGUUGUUGUAGCAGGAGCUGCACUGGUUGUCGUAGUAGGUUCUGGAGUUGUAGUUGUUGUAGAAGGUGCUGCAGUCACUGUGGUCGCAAGAACAGCAGUUGUUGUAGUAGGAGCUGCAGUGGUUGUCGUAGAUGCUAAAGCUGUUGUAAGAGCUGCAGUUGUCGUGGGAGCUACANNNNNNNNNNCAGCUUCUGUGGUUGAAGUAGAUGCUAAAGUUGUUGUAGGAGCUGCUGUUGUCGUGGGAGCUACAGUUGUUGUAGGUGUUGCUGUUGUGGUUGUCGUAGGAGCUAAAGUUGUAGUUGUUGUAGCAGGAGCUGCAGUGGUUGUCGUAGUAGGUUCUGGAGUUGUAGUGGUCGUAGGAGCAGCAGUUGUUGUAGUUAGGGCUGCAGCGGCUGUCGUAGGGGCAGCUUCUGUGGUUGAAGUAGAUGCUAAAGUUGUUGUAGGAGCUGCUGUUGUCGUGGGAGCUAUAGUUGUUGUAGGUGUUGCUGUUGUGGUUGUCGUAGGAGCUGAAGUUGUAGUUGUUGUAGCAGGAGCUGCAGUGGUUGACGUAACAGGUUCUGGAGUUGUAGUGGUCGUUGGAGCAGCAGUCGUUGUAGUUAGGGCUGGUGUGGUUGUCGUAGAGGCAGCUGCUGAGGUUGACGUAGAAGCUACAAUUGUUGUAGCAGGAGCUGUAGUUGUGGUAGUAAGUACAGAAGGUGUGGUGGUCGUGGGAGCUACAGUUGUUGUAGGAGUUGCUGUUGUGGUUGUCGUAGGGGCUGAAGUUGUAGUUGUUGUAGCAGGAGCUGCACUGGUUGUCGUAGUAGGUUCUGGAGUUGUAGUGGCUGUAGGAGCAGCAGUUGUUGUAGUUAGGGCUGCAGCGGCUGUCGUAGGGGCAGCUUCUGUGGUUGAAGUAGAUGCUAAAGUUGUUGUAGGAGCUGCAGUUGUCGUGGGAGCUACAGUUGUUGUAGGUGUUGCUGUUGUGGUUGUCGUAAGAGCUGAAGCAGUAGUUGUUGUAGCAGGAGCUGCAGUGGUUGACGUAAUAGGUUCUGGAGUUGUAGUGGUCGUUGGAGCAGCAGUCGUUGUAGUUAGGGCGGGUGUGGUUGUCGUAGAGGCAGCUGCUGAGGUUGACGUAGAAGCUACAAUUGUUUUAGCAGGAGCUGUAGUUGUGGUUGUUGUAGUAAGUACAGAAGGUGUGGUGGUCGUGGGAGCUACAGUUGUUGGAACUGCAGGUGUUGUAGUAGGUGUUGCUGUUGUGGUUGUCGUAAGAGCAGAAGCUGUAGUUGUUGUAGAAGGUGCUGCAGUCGUUGUAGUAGUAGGUUCUGGAGUUGUAGUGGUCGUAGGAGCAGAAGCUGUUGUCGUAGGGGCAGCUUCUGUGGUUAAAGUAGAUGCUAAAGUUGUUGUAGGUGUUGCUGUUGUGGUUGUCGUAGGAGCUGAAGUUGUAGUUGUUGUAGCAGGAGCUGCACUGGUUGUCGUAGUAGGUUCUGGAGUUGUAGUGGUCGUAGGAGCAGCAGUUGUUGUAGUUAGGGCUGCAGCGCCUGUCGUAGGGGCAGCUUCUGUGGUUGAAAUAGAUGCUAAAGUUGUUGUAGGUGUUGCUGUUGUGGUUGUCGUAGGAGCUGAAGUUGUAGUUGUUGUAGCAGGAGCUGCUCUGGUUGUCGUAGUAGGUUCUGGAGUUGUAGUGGUCGUAGGAGCAGCAGUUGUUUUAGUUAGGGCUGCAGCGGCUGUCGUAGGGCCAGCUUCUGUGGUUGAAGUAGAUGCUAAACUUGUUGUAGGAGCUGCUGUUGUCGUGGGAGCUACAGUUGUUGUAGGUGUUGCUGUUGUGGUUGUCGUAGGAGCUGAAGUUGUAGUUGUUGUAGCAGGAGCUGCAGUGGUUGUCGUAAUAGGUUCUGGAGUUGUAGUGGUCGUUGGAGCAGCAGUCGUUGUAGUUAAAACUGGUGUGGUUGUCGUAGAGGCAGCUGCUGAGGUUGACGUAGAAGCUACAAUUGUUGUAGCAGGAGCUGUAGUUGUGGUUGUUGUAGUAAGUACAGAAGGUGUGUUGGUCGUGGGAGCUACAGUUGUUGGAACUGCAGGUGUUGUAGUAGGUGUUGCUGUUGUGGUUGUCGUAAGAGCAGAAGCUGUAGUUGUUGUAGAAGGUGCUGCAGUUGUUGUAGUAGUAGGUUCUGGAGUUGUAGUGGUCGUAGGAGCAGAAGCUGUUGUCGUAGGGGCAGCUUCUGUGGUUGAAGUAGAUGCUAAAGUUGUUGUAGGCGCUGCAGAUGUCAAGGGAGCUACAGUUGUUGUAGGUGCUGCUGUUGUGGUUGUCGUAGGCGCUGAAGUUGUAGUUGAUGUAGAAAGUGCUGCAGUCCCAGUGGUUGUAAGAAUAGCAUUUGUUAUUGCAGGAGAUGCAGUUGUUGUUGUAAUAGGUUCUGGAGUUGUAGUGGUCGUUGGAGCAGCAGUUGUUGUAGUUAGAGCUUCUAUGGUUGUCGUAGAGGCAGCUGCUGUGGUUGACGUAGGAGCUGUAGUUGUGAUUGUUGUUGUAAGUACUGCAGGUGGAGUGGUCGUGGUAGCUACAGUUGUAGGAACUGCAGGAGUUGCAGUAGGUGCUGUUGUUGUGGUUGUCGUAGGAGCUGAAGUUGUUGUUGUUGUAGAAGGUGCUGCAGUCACUGUGGUCGUAAGAACAGCAGUUGUUGUAGUAGGAGCUGCACUGGUUGUCGUAGUAGGUUGUGGAGUUGCAGUGGUCGAAGGAGCAGCAGUUGUUGUAGUUAGGGCUGCAGCAGCUGUCGUAGGGGCAUCUUCUGUGGUUGAAGUAGAUGCUAAAGUUGUUGCAGGAGCUGCUGUUGUCGUGGGAGCUACAGUUGUUGUAGGUGUUGCUGUUGUGGUUGUCGUAGGAGCUAAAGUUGUAGUUGUUGUAGCAGGAGCUGCAGUGGUUGUCGUAGUAGGUUCUGGAGUUGUAGUGGUCGUAGGAGCAGCAGUUGUUGUAGUUAGGGCUGCAGCGGCUGUCGUAGGGGCAGCUUCUGUGGUUGAAGUAGAUGCUAAAGUUGUUGUAGGAGCUGCAGUUGUCAUGGGAGCUACAGUUGUUGUAGGUGUUGCUGUUGUGUUUGUCGUAGGAGCUGAAGUUGUAGUUGUUGUAGCAGGAGCAGCAGUUGUUGUAGUUAGGGCUGCAGCGGCUGUCGUAGGGGCAGCUUCUGUGGUUGAAGUAGAUGCUAAAGUUGUUGUAGGAGCUGCAGUUGUCGUGGGAGCUACAGUUGCUGUAGGUGUUGCUGUUGUGGUUGUCGUAGGCGCUGAAGUUGUAGUUGAUGUAGAAAGUGCUGCAGUCGCAGUGGUUGUAAGAAUAGCAUUUGUUAUUGUAGGAGCUGCAGUGGUUGUUGUAAUAGGUUCUGGAGUUGUAGUGGUCGUUGGAGCAGGAGUUGUUGUAGUUAGAGCUUCUAUGGUUGUCGUAGAGGCAGCUGCUGUGGUUGACGUAGGAGCUGUAGUUGUGAUUGUUGUAGUAAGUACUGCAGGUGAAGUGGUCGUGGUAGCUACAGUUGUAGGAACUGCAGGAGUUGUAGUAGGUGCUGUUGUUGUGGUUGUCGUAGGAGCUGAAGUUGUUGUUGUAGAAGGUGCUGCAGUCACUGUGGUCGUAAGAACAGCAGUUGUUGUAGUAAGAGCCGCAUUGGUUAUCGUAGUAGGUUGUGGAGUUGCAGUGGUCGUAGGAGCAGCAGUUGUUGUAGUUAGGGCUGCAGCGGCUGUCGUAGGGGCAGCUUCUGUGGUUGAAGUAGAUGCUAAAGUUGUUGUAGGAGCUGCAGUUGUCGUGGGAGCUACAGUUGUUGUAGGUGUUUCUGUUGUGGUUGUCGUAGGAGCCAAAGUUGUAGUUGUUGUAGCAGGAGCUGCACUGGUUGUCGUAGUAGGUCCUGGAGUUGUAGUGGUCGUAGGAGCAGCAGUUGUUGUAGUUAGGGCUGCAGCGGCUGUCGUAGGGACAGCGUCUGUGGUUGAAGUAGAUGCUAAAGUUGUUGUAGGAGCUGCAGUUGUCGUGGGAGCUACAGUUGUUGUAGGUGUUGCUGUUGUGGUUGUCGUAGGAGC
rnacentral:lncRNA from 13 species